UGUUUACUAAACGUUAAACAAUCGGAAUAGCUAACCAAAAUUCUAUUUUAGCUUGGUUUUCUCUUUAAAAAAAAUCUACAUUUUUCGCUUUGCAAAUUUCAGCUGGCAUAGGAAAUGAGAGCUUGAGGUCAAUUGUGCCAAAUGUGCUGCUUCAGCAAACGCAUAUUCAUAUCUAAUAAAUGCGGUGGCAGACCCCUUGUCGAAUUUAAGUGAGCGAAGGGGUUGUGUUGAGGGAAAGGGGGUCACAGAACGAUGAGCUGCGAGAGCUGUUUCUCAUUUUGAUCAGUUGCAGUUUAAUCGAGCAACGAGGGAGGAGAGAACAUCCGCAAUGCGAAGCUGGACAGCCCAAAAAACCAAUCUCUCUCUUGAGUGAGUGUGUUUUUGUGUGUGUUGGGGCACUUUACACUUACCGUUGCAGCUGAGCUUUAUUUGGGGCCCGAUUGGGCGACUGGCAGAGCAGCUGAAAGGAUUGUGCCGAUCGUGACAUGGAUACCUCCAGGGCCUUGUUACGCUUCACAAUGUCAUCCAGAUUGCUGUGCAGAUUGAUGCAGUUCUGUUUGUUUCUCGCUGCAAUGUCGCAUGGUUCCGCUAUAAACA